rnacentral:lncRNA from 1 species
GACUGCUCCCGAAGAAGCCAAGGUUGUUCCCCGCCGCCGCCGCCGCACUCCACUACGGCCUACCCCCAUCGCCACCGAGGUGGUUUCCCCCUUCCUCCGAAGCCUCGCCCGGGACUGCCCCCGACGACGCCGGGGUGGGAUGGCAGCACCUCUUGCCACAAGGUUUGGAGGAGAACAGCAAGCAGAUGCACCAAAGGGGGCUCAAAUCUGAGGAAUGAUGCGACAAAAAUGAGCUUGCUGGACAAGAAUCCUGGUAGGAUAUGA